CGCGAACCAUUUGCUUCUCAUAUUCAUAGACAACUCUCCUCCCGAGGCCGCCAUAGAGCCUAGCUCAACCUUGGUUCCCUUCCUGCACAAGUACUGUGACGUUUCCGACAAGAAGCCCUCUGUAAGUAGCCUAGUAACCCUUCCCUCCUUCCCCUCUUCUCCCAAAUACUGCACUUCCCUACAACUCAUUUCCUCCUAGGUCUGAUAACCCUCUCUCAAUUCAUUUGAAUUGAAAGGGCUUUAUUGUCAUGGGAAACAUGUUUACAUUGCGAAAGCAAGUCUCAAGUGCUGAAGCUAGAGCUGAAGAAGAUCAGGGAGCAGCAGGACCUGCUCUUCUGCUUCAUGAACUCCCUCAUGCUGGAGGGGGCAGUGCACAUGAUCCAGUUCUGCCUCACUGAGGGUAAGUAGGCUUUGGCCAUUCCCCCAUAUCCCAGAUAGAGAUGCAAUAGACUGACAACUAUGUCCUGGCCCAGAAACAACUACCCUAGCCUCUAUUCUUUCGGUGUUUAGAAAGCUGAAGGAAAUGGAUAAGUGAAAGCAAUAUGGCAGAAACUCUCCAGUCAAAAUGGAAGGCUUAAGAACUGCAGUCACCGAAUGGGAACGGGUUGUUUACCGAAGGGGGAAGGGUUGUUUCUGGACCAGGUCCAAGUCUUGAUUCCCCUCUCUUCUGCCCUUCAUUACAUAGGAAAUAAGGUACUGAGUUCACCUAGUCCACUAAUAGGCUAAUUAAAGAUGUAUUUAUUUCACACUGUAUACACAUUCCUUAAUUAGCUAUAGCACUGGUUGUAGUUCCUCCCUCUCAUUCACCACUCUUGUCUUCCUCUGUCUGUGGUGACUUACUUAUCACCAAGUGACACUUAUGAAAAUGUCAAUUGGUGUCAAGUGGCACUGAGAGCACAUGUCUGUGAAGUUGAAGGGUUUACAUGGUGCAACAAGUCUGCUAGAGCAGCCUGUCUGCUGCUGGUAAGGCCUGGGGUCAUGGUAUUUUAAACUGUUAUGCAACGGCAAAAAAAAAAAGGGUUUUGAAGUACAGGUAAUGCCUUCCUGUUUAUUUAUUUGAUUGAACCUUUAUUUCACUAGGGAAGUCAGUUAAGAACAAAUUCUUAUUUACAAUGACGGCCUACCCCGGCCAAACCUUAACCCAGGCGACGCUGGGCAAAUUGUGUGCCGCCCUAUGGGACUCCCAAUCACGGCUGGUUGUGAUACAGCCUGGAAUUGAACCAUGGUCUGUAGUGACGCCUCUAGCACAGAUGCAGUGCCUUAGACCGCUGUGCCACCCGGGAGCCCCAUAUGAACAGUUUUCUAAGCAUUUUUACAAACGGCAGGUUUGUUAAGUCAUACUGAUAUGCGUUUCUCUCUCCAGUUGCUGAGGUCCUCAUGCCGGGGUGGUCAAUCAAUCAAUGAAAUGUAUUUAUAAAGCCCUUGUUACAUCAGCUGAUGUCACAAAGUUCUGUACAGAAACCCAGCCUAAAACCCCAAACAGCAAGCAAUGCAAGUGUAGAAGCACAGUGGCUAGGAAAAACUCCCUAGAAAGGCCAAAACCUAGGAAGGAACCUAGAGAGGAAUCAGGCUAUGAGGGGUGGGCCAGUCCUCUUCUGGCUGUGCUGGGUGGAGAUUAUAACCCUGUUCAAGCCCACCACUAUGGAGGGAGCCAUGUUGCCCUCCUACGGCCUGGUGGAGGCAGAGGACGACAUGAUAGGUUGUACAGUGUGGGGCCCCUGGGUGGCAGUGUGGAUCCAGGAUUAGUUAGGAAGGCACACUCAGUAAAUUUAGUGAUUCAAGAUCUGUUGUGUACAACCUAUGUUGAUUUACUGGCCUAUAUAUUUGCUUAUUCAAUACCAUGAUUUGUUUCUUUCUUUGUAAUAAGGUGAAUGGGGAAAAUAUUCAGAAAUAUCCAUUCAAAGGAGCCCUGAGACUAACUCCUUUCAAGAUCAUUAGUGGACUUACAAAGUUGUCAAAGUUACUGGGUUUGCUGUUAUUAAUUUCAAGCAGGAUUAUCAUUUAAGGGUAUCUGCUAAGAAAAUAUGUAAUGUUGUGUGAUCAAAUGUGUGAUUCAUUGGCAGAGACCACUGCCCUGCUUCCUGACUAUUUCAUCCUCAUCAUUCCCACAGCAUUGCUCAGUGGACUUGAAACUCAGUAUGUUGCUCUUAUUCUUCUUCUCCCAGAGUCUUCCGUAGCUGAUGCACUAGAUACUCCCCUAGCUGUAUUUUACCCCUACUAGAGCUGCUGUCAGUGAAUACAUAUCCUAUUUUAGAUCCCGUACUAGUUUAUUUUUUUAUUUCACCUUUAUUUAACCAGGUAGGCUAGUUGAGAACAAGUUCUCAUUUACAACUGCGACCUGGCCAAGAUAAAGCAUAGCAGUGUGAACAGACAACAACACAGAGUUACACAUGGAGUAAACAAUAAAAAAGUCAAUAACACAGUAGGAGAAAAAUAAAAUAAAAUGAGUCUUAUACAUUGUGUGCAAAAGGCAUGAGGAGGUAGGCAAUAAAUAGGCCAUAGGAGCGAAUAAUUACAAUUUAGCAGAUUAACACUGGAGUGAUAAAUCAUCAGAUGAUCAUGUGCAAGUAGAGAUACUGGUGUGCAAAAGAGCAGAAAAGUAAAUAAAUAAAAACAGUAUGGGGAUGAGGUAGGUAAAUUGGGUGAGCUGUUUACAGAUGGACUAUGUACAGCUGCAACGAUCGGUUAGCUGCUCAGAUAGCAGAUGUUUAAAGUUGGUGAGGGAAAUAAAAGUCUCCAACUUCAGCAAUUUUUGCAAUUCGUUCCAGUCACAGGCAGCAGAGAACUGGAAGGAAGGGCGGCCAAAUGAGGUGUUGGCUUUUGGGAUGAUCAGUGAGAUAUACCUGCUGGAGCGCAUGCUACGGGUGGGUGGGUGUUGUCGUGACCAGUGAACUGAGAUAAGUCGGAGCUUUACCUAGCAUGGACUUAUAGAUGACCUGGAGCCAGUGGGUCUGGCGACGAAUAUGUAGCGAGGGCUAGCCGACUAGAGCAUACAGGUCGCAGUGGUGGGUGGUAUAAGGUGUUUUAGUAACAAAACGGAUGGCACUAUGAUAAACUGCAUCUAGUUUGCUGAGUAGAGUAUUGGAAGCUAUUUUGUAGAUGACAUCGCCGAAGUCGAGGAUCGGUAGGAUAGUCAGUUUUACUAGGGUAAGUUUGGCGGCGUGAGUGAAGGAGGCUUUGUUGCGAAAUAGAAAGCCGAUUCUUGAUUUGGAUUGGAGAUGUUUAAUAUGAGUCUGGAAGGAGAGUUUACAGUCUAGCCAGACACCUAGGUAUUUAUAGAUGUCCACAUAUUCUAGGUCGGAACCGUCCAGGGUGGUGAUGCUAGUCGGGCGGGCGGGUGCAGGCAGCGAACGGUUGAAAAGCAUGCAUUUGGUUUUACUAGCGUUUAAGAGCAGUUGGAGGCCACGGAAGGAGUGUUGUAUGGCAUUGAAGCUCGUUUGGAGGUUAGAUAGCACAGUGUCCAAGGAAGGGCCAGAAGUAUACAGAAUGGUGUCAUCUGCGUAGAGGUGGAUCAGGGAAUCGCCCACAGCAAGAGCAACAUCAUUGAUAUAUACAGAGAAAAGAGUCGGCCCGAGAAUUGAACCCUGUGGUAUUACAGUACUUCCUGUAUAUGUCACUCAAUCACAGUGGUCCUUUGCAAUGUGUUUCCCCUUUUACCUUGCUGCAGUUCUGUGCCGUUCCACACAAUAGUGUUGGAGUAGGCGUGCUGAUAUAGGAUCAGAUUGUAAUGAUUGAGAUUAAAUAGAGAGGGGGAACCUGAUCCUAGAUCAGCACUCCUACUCCGAGAUCAUUUGUGAAUACAAAGCAUGCAAUGCUUUAUUAUAACAUUGUUUUUUAAUGCUUUCUGGUACCAAGAACUGAGCUCCUGACCUCCAAGCAGAAGAAGUUCCAGGAGUACAUCCAGGUAGUCAUUGUGGAGUAAACAAGCUCUGGGGUGAAGUGUUCCUUAGGUACAGAUCUAGGAUCAGCUUCCCCUCCCCAAUCAUAACCUUAACCAUUGUGUAUGUAAGGAAAAUGAUCAGCUUCUAGGGGCAACUUCACACUGCACCAGUAAAAAAACAGAGGUCAUGCUUCAGAAAUAGCUUUGUGGUCUGUCACCAUAUGAAUACCUACCAGCUUAUGUAGUGGCUGCAGUAAGUGUAGAAGUUCGAGAGGUGGAUUAGUAACCAAAGGGUUGAUGGCUCAAAUCCCAGGGCUGGUGUGGUCAAAAUCUACCACUGAACCCCAAAUAUAGGCUUACUGUGGUUUACCCUGCACUGUUUCCAGUCUCAUGUUCCAUUGUUCUAAAUGAAUAACAAAGUGCUAUUCUGUCAGCCCUUUAUGAAUCUGUAAACAAAGUGAAUAUUGUUGGCUAUCUUCCAGAAACUGCUCCAGGACCCAGAGCUGAGCAACAGUCAGCUGCUGGCAGACUUCCCAUCUCCACAGUCUGGACUCAAUACGUGGACAAGAUGCUGCCUGAUGUCAAUCUAGCUCUUCAAUGACCUGUUCAAGAACAACGCCAACCGAUCGGAGAGAGCAGAGGAGAAACACAGCCAGAACUACUUCAUGGAGAUGAUCACUGUGGAAGGGGUUUACUUUAUGUACAGUAUGUGAAAAGUUAGAUGCACAAAUAUCAUCCCCCCCCCCCCCCCC